UUGCUUCUGUGUAACAGGAGGAUGGAGAUUAAUAAGAGACACUGGACCUGAUUUAAGGAUUUCUCCCUUGAUCCUGACCUCUACGUUUGCAUCUGUUUUAGGAGACUGGAGACCCGUAAUAGAAGGUCAAGGUGAUUUCUGCCUUCAUUUUGGUCCAGGUCACCAUGUUCCCUCUUACAGGAAAGAGACUAACAAAGGAGGGGCAGAAAGGGAGAGAGAGAAUCCUAAGGAGGCACCAUGCCCAGCAUGUUUUAAUCAGUGGAACACUUCAUUUCAACCUCGUAUCUGUCUGACACGGGGCUAGAUCCCAUGAUCCUGAGAACAUGACCUGUGCCAAAAUCAGAAGUCAGGCACUUAACCGACUGAGCCAUGAAGAAUGGACAGAUUUGAGCUAACCAAGCAUUAUUCCAAGGUGGCGAGCUCUACGAUAGCUUCGGUGUGACAGAGGCACAGGGUCCCAUAACAGAUGCUCCAGCUGAUUUCACCUCUGCCCUGAUCACGGUCGUUAUGUUGCCUGCGUCUUAGGAGAGUGAAGCAAGCUGAUGUAAGCAAUCCUGCCUGGUGGCGAGCUCGGUGGUCGCAUCCCUCUGUUAGAUGCACAGAGAACAGCAACGGACACACCUGAGCAGAUGUAACAUCUUCUAUGAUCCUGAGUUCUGUGUUGCCUCUGUAAUAGAAGGAUGGGGAUUAAUG